rnacentral:rRNA from 1 species
GAGUUUGAUCCUGGCUCAGGACGAACGCUGGCGGCGUGCUUAACACAUGCAAGUCGAACGAGGACACGGAGCUUGCUCUGUGAGCCGAGUGGCGGACGGGUGCGUAACACGUGACCAAUCUGUCUUCAGGAGAGGGACAACCCGGGGAAACUUGGGCUAAUACCACAUGAUGUCACCGGAUCGCAUGGUCUGGUGACCAAAGGGGGGCCUCUGCUUGCAAGCUCUCGCCUGAAGGGGAGGUCGCGGCGUAUCAGCUAGUUGGUGAGGUAACGGCUCACCAAGGCUACGACGCGUAGCGGGUCUGAGAGGACGACCCGCCACAUUGGGACUGAGAUUCGGCCCAGACUCCUACGGGAGGCAGCAGUGGGGAAUAUUGCGCAAUGGUCGAAAGACUGACGCAGCGACGCCGCGUGUGGGAUGAAGCCUUUCGGGGUGUAAACCACUGUCAGGGGGGAAGAACCCCGGGUCUCCGAAUAGGUUUCCCGGCUGACGGUACCCCCAGAGGAAGCGCCGGCUAACUCCGUGCCAGCAGCCGCGGUAAGACGGAGGGCGCAAGCGUCGUUCGGAAUUACUGGGCGUAAAGCGCGUGCAGGCGGUUUCUUAAGUCUCCUGUGAAAUUCCGGAGCUCAACUCCGGAGAUGCAGGAGAGACUGGGAGACUAGAGAUCGGUAGAGGCUAGUGGAAUUCCUGGUGUAGCGGUGGAAUGCGUAGAUAUCAGGAGGAACACCGGUGGCGAAGGCGACUAGCUGGGCCGG